rnacentral:rRNA from 1 species
AAAACACCCCUACGGGAGGCAGCAGUGGGGAAUAUUGGACAAUGGGGGCAACCCUGAUCCAGCCAUGCCGCGUGAGUGAUGAAGGCCUUCGGGUUGUAAAGCUCUUUUGGCGGGGACGAUGAUGACGGUACCCGCAGAAUAAGCCCCGGCUAACUUCGUGCCAGCAGCCGCGGUAAGACGAAGGGGGCUAGCGUUGUUCGGAAUUACUGGGCGUAAAGCGAGUGUAGGUGGUUUUCCAAGUUGGAUGUGAAAGCCUUGAGCUCAACUCAAGAAAUGCAUUCAGGACUGGGAGACUAGAGGACCGGAGAGGAUAGUGGAAUUCCCAGUGUAGUGGUGAAAU